rnacentral:misc_RNA from 1 species
UUUCCGUAGGUGAACCUGCGGAAGGAUCAUUCAUAAGAAGUGUUUUAUGGAAAUUUUUUGAAUCCAUAUCCACCUUGUGUGCAAUGUCAGGGUUGAUUUUUCUCUCAAGAGGAUCAGCCCCAAACAUCAACUAUAUCUCAACUCUUUGUCAGAAAAAUAUUAUGAAUAAAACAAUUCAAAGUACAACUUUCAACAACGGAUCUCUUGGCUCUC